CGGUGUUCAACUGGCGUGUCGCGGAACGUCCUGCCCGGUGGGAGCGGGCGUUCGCGCGUUCGUUCCCAACUUUAAAUCCUGCCGCGGUGCUCUUUAUUGAGUGUCGAGGUAGGCCGGCACGUUUACUUUGAACAAAUAGAGUGCUCAAGCAGCUAAAUUUCGCUGAUAUUCUGUGGCAUGGAAUAAUGGAAUAGGACCUCGGUUCUAUUUGUGGUUUUCGAACCCGAGUAAUGAGAUAGACGGAUGAGGGGCAUCGUAUGCGACGUAGAGGUGAAAUUCUUGAUCGUCGCAAGACGGACAGAAGCGAAAGCAUUUGCCAAAAACGUUUUCAUUGAUCAAGAACGAAAGUAGAGGUUCGAAGGCGAUCAGAUACCGCCCUAGUUCUAACCAUAAACGAUGCCAGCUAGCGAUCCGCCGACGUUCCUCCGAUGACUCGGCGGGCAGCUUCCGGGAAACCAAAGCUUUUGGGUUCCGGGGGAAGUAUGGUUGCAAAGCUGAAACUUAAAGGAAUUGACGGAAGGGCACCACCAGGAGUGGAGCCUGCGGCUUAAUUUGACUCAACACGGGAAACCUCACCAGGCCCGGACACCGGAAGGAUUGACAGAUUGAGAGCUCUUUCUUGAUUCGGUGGGUGGUGGUGCAUGGCCGUUCUUAGUUGGUGGAGCGAUUUGUCUGGUUAAUUCCGAUAACGAACGAGACUCUAGCCUGCUAACUAGGCGUAUUUUCGACAUCCGAAAGGCCCGACGGCCGCGUCGUUCGCGGCACGGUCGCUCGUGGUUUUUGCUGUCGGCGUACAACACAUUCUUCUUAGAGGGACAGGCGG
rnacentral:rRNA from 1 species